AAAAUAAAUGAUAUAUAAUUAUUACUUAUAAAAAUGUAAGUAUAUAAAGAAACUAUUAUGGAAUUUAAGCUAUGUAUUAAAGAGAAUUAUUUAUACAUAUAGGAUAAUAAUCCUAUAAUUAUAUGAACUCUAAGAGAAAUUUUAUAAUAAACGAAGCGAAUUGAAAUAUCUUAGUAACUUCAGGAAAAUAAAUCAAAAGAGAUUCUAUGAAUAGCGUGAGCGAAAGUAGAGAAGCCUAAAAAGUAAAACGGUCAAAAAACUGUUUAAACAUAUGGGGAACCUUCCUCAAAGGCUAAAUAUAAUACAUAAGCGAUAGUGAAUAGUACCAUGAGGGAAAAAAAAUAAAAAUAGUAGUUUUAUAAGCAGUUCGAAAAAAAGAACGUACCUUUUGCAUAAUGGGUCACCAAGUUAACGUUAGAUGCGAGAUAACUCGUAGGUAAACCGAACGUUAAAAUAACGAUAUAGUGUCUAAAGUUAGACCCGAAGCCUGGUGAUUUUACCAUGAUCAGGAUUAUAAAAGUCCGAACCGGUGAUUGUAGCAAAAAUCUCGGAAGAAUUGUGGUAGGUGUAGUGAAAGACAACACUGACUAGGAUAGCUGGUUUUCUGCGAAACCUAUAAUAGUAGGCAAUUUAAGUAAAUAUCUUAGCAGGUACAGAAUUUAAUCUCAGACAAGGCAUAAUAAUGUUUUAUUUUGUACAAAUUGGGGGAUCAUGAAGAUUUUAUCAGUGAGUAUGUAGACUCGGAAUGGCAAAGAUAUGUCUUAAAUUAUCAGACAUAGAAUGAUAAGGUUGUAUGUCAAAAGGGAAACAGCCCAGAACAAGAGUUAAGGUUCCUAAAUUAUUAGUUGAGUGAAAUUAAGAAGGUUUUUAUUUAAGUCGACAAGGAGAUAGGCUUAGAAGCAGCCAUAAUUUUAUGACCUCGUAACAGAGCGCUUGUUAAGUUAUAAAAGCAUCGAAAAUUUAACGGAUCUAAACAAUAUACCGAAACCUUGUCCAUAAUAUAUUAUAAUAAUUAGGUUAAUUGUAAUUAAAUGGGGUAGCAGAACGUUGAGCUAAAGUAUGAAUUUUAUUUUUUAAAUAAAAUUAGAAUUAUUUAACUCAAGCGAGAAUGGUGACAUGAGUAACUAAAAGAAAAUUUUCCGUCUUAAGCUUAUGGAUAUAUUUAAGUAACGGCCUCUAAGUUUAUAUAAUCUAAAGAUUUAAACGAUGAGAAAAUCUUUAUUACUAAAAACAACAUUUUAGUGUAAAAUGUGCUGGAAAAAUAGUAAUAUGUUUGUUAUUUAUAACAAAUAAAAUAACCGUACCUAGAAUCUGAAACAAGUAAGCUAGUAGAGUAUACGAAGACGUAAAUGAGCUAACAAUCAUAAAGGAACUCGGCAAAUUGACUACCGUACCUUCGGAAUAAGGAGGGCUCAUUAUUCUUGAUUAAUAUCAAGUAAAGAGGAAGAAGCAUGAAAUAAUGUUGUACGACUGUUUAAUUAAAACACAGCACUUUGCUGAAAGAUUAAAAAUCUAAGUAUAAAGUGUGAUAUCUGCCCGGUGCCGGCUGGUUAACAGAGAUAAUUGAAUAUACUAAUAUUUGAUGUCGACGGAAACCCCGGUUAAAGGCGGCCUUAACGUGAGGGUCCUAAGGUAGCGAAAUGCCUUGGCCGUUAAAUGCGGUCUUGCAUGAAUGGUGUAACGAUACAACAGCUGUCUCUAUGAUUGACUCAGUGAAAUUGGAAUAGCUGUGCAGAUACAGCUUACCUCUAGAUAGACGAGAAGACCCUAUGCAGCUUUACUGUCACUAAUUAUAGAGUAUGAUAAACGAUUUUCAGAAUAUAAGGUAAUUGACAAAUAUAACAAUGAGAAACCUUUAUUCUUUUUUCAUAUGAAUGAAUUGGUUUAGGAUUAUAAGUAGUUUAUAGUUAAUGUAGCUUUACUGAGCUAAUUUUUAGCUUGAGCAAUCAAGUUAAAUUUAUUAAAUUCAUUAAUUAUUUUCUUUAAAUUAUUCUAUAGCUUAUAAUAGUAAAUCAACCUAAUUCAACUUUUUUAUUAUAUAAUAAUUAAGUACCCUUUGGUGAGGAACUAUCGCUAGGGGACAGUUUAUGUGGGGCACAGACCCUGUAAAGAGUAAACAGGAGUGUCUAAAAAUUUAAAAUUUAUUUUGUUUGCAAUUUUGAAUAGUUUUACUAUUCUUAAUCAUAUACAAUUAUUUAUAUUUGCAUUUAUUGUAAAUAUAUUUAAAAUAAGGUAAGAUUUUCACUAUACAGAAAUUAGAGAUAAUUGAAAAUAUUAUGAGAUUUCUCUAAUAUUUUCUAGCUAUUCUAAAGAAUAGUAAUGUAUUGAAUAUCUAAAAAGCUCAACGGCUUAAUCUUGCCUUACUGUUUGAUUAUCAACAAAUCUUACAGUUGCGUAAGCAGGGCAUAGGAUCACAAGAUGCAACAAGGAAAGAUCUUGGAUUAUUGGAAAAGCUACGCUAGGGAUAACAGGCUAAUUUGCGCAAGAGUGUACAAAAUGAGUGCGCGGUUUGGCACCUCGAUGUCGGCUUAACUUAUCCUCAUGGAUGCAGGAACUAUGUAGGGUGCGACUGUUCGUCGAUUAAAAAGUUACAUGAGCUGGGUUAAAUACGUCGUGAGACAGUAUGGUUUCUAUCUUCUAGGGGGAAUUAGAAUAAAAUAAGAACGAACUUUUGUACGAAAGGAACAAGAAGAGUUUAACUGUAAAAGGUAAAACAAUGUUUACUAACCUAUGGUUUACCUGUUGUUUAUGUGCCCAAAUAUUAAAUAUAUAUAAUUUAUUAUAUAUAUCUGUAUAAUUUAUACAUAGGGAUGUUUCUCUCACUAAGAUAAAUAUAUAGCAUAAGCACGGCAGGAACGCUAAGUUGGUUAAGGAUAAGUGCUGAAAGCAUAUAGGCACGAAGCUUAUCUUAAGAUAUUUCUUAAAUAUGCGUAGUAGAUUACUACGAAAACAUUAUAGGCUUUAUCCGUAAGAAUCUUGAGAUUUUCAAGAAUAAAGUACUAAUUUAAUAAAUCACUAUUUAUAUAUAUAUCG
rnacentral:rRNA from 1 species